rnacentral:misc_RNA from 1 species
ACCACCAAUAAAAAUUACUUGUCACCAAUACAAGUGGGAAUCCAGGAGGAGUACCGAAAUAGGGAAAUUGUGACUACAAGACACAACUUUCUAAAACCAAACAACCACUCUAUUGCGCUUGGCCAUUAUUUAACUGUUCAAAUACAAAGUCAAAGAAAAAAACACUGACCAAAUACAACAACAAAAGGAAAGAUGUUGGCUACACUGACAAAUUCCGAGGAAAAUUAGAGUAAACGCCUUGUGGAUGCAUCUGUCCUCUCUGGCACAUAGGGCAGCCAA